rnacentral:rRNA from 1 species
CCUACGGGAGGCAGCAGUGGGGAAUAUUGCACAAUGGGCGAAACCCUGAUGCAGCGACGCCGCGUGAGUGAAGAAGUAAUUCGUUAUGUAAAGCUCUAUCAGCAGGGAAGCAAAUGACGGUACCUGACUACGAAGCCCCGGCUAAAUACGUGCCAGCAGCCGCGGCAAUACGGAGGGGGCCAGCGUUAUCCGGAUUUACUGGGCGUAAAGGGAGCGUAGACGGCAGUGCAAGUCUGGAGUGAAAGGCGGGGGCACAACCCCCGGACUGCUGUGGAAACUGUACGGCUGGAGUGCAGGAGAGGUAAGUGGAAUGCCUGGUGUAGCGGUGAAAUGCAUAGAUAUUAGGAGGAACACCAGUUGCGAAGGCGGCUCUCUGGACUGUAACUGACACUGAGGCACGAAAGCGUGGGGAGCAAACAGGAUUAGAUACCCGGGUAGUC